GACGAACGCUGGCGGCGUGCUUAACACAUGCAAGUCGAACGGUGAAGCGCCUUCCUUUUUGGUGGGUGUGGAUGAGUGGCGAACGGGUGAGUAACACGUGAGUAACCUGCCCCCUUCUUCUGGAUAACCACAUGAAAGUGUGGCUAAUACGGGAUAUUCUGGGUCUGUCGCAUGAUGGGUCUGGGAAAGAUAUUGUUUCGGUGGGGGAUGGGCUCGCGGCCUAUCAGCUUGUUGGUGGGGUGAUGGCCUGCCAAGGCGGUGACGGGUAGCCGGCCUGAGAGGGUGGACGGUCACACUGGGACUGAGACACGGCCCAGACUCCUACGGGAGGCAGCAGUGGGGAAUAUUGCACAAUGGGCGCAAGCCUGAUGCAGCGACGCCGCGUGAGGGAUGGAGGCCUUCGGGUUGUGAACCUCUUUCGCCAGUGAAGCAGGCCUGCCUCGUUUGUGGGUGGGUUGACGGUAGCUGGAGAAGAAGCGCCGGCUAACUACGUG
rnacentral:rRNA from 1 species